rnacentral:tRNA from 1 species
GCGAGUGUGGCGGAAUUGGCAGACGCGUAAGUUUCAGGUACUUAUAUGUUUAACGCAUGUGCAGGUUCAAGUCCUGUCACUCGCACCA